rnacentral:rRNA from 1 species
UGGUGAGUGAUUUGUUUGGUUAAUUCCUCAGUCCACUAAUUGGUUUGCCCAAUGUGGUGUACACAUCUUAGAGGGACUAUGAUUUUUAUCCGAAGGAAGUAUGAGGCAAUAACA